UACGUAGGGUGCGAGCGUUAAUCGGAAUUACUGGGCGUAAAGCGUGCGCAGGCGGUUCUCCAAGUCCGUUGUGAAAGCCCCGGGCUCAACCUGGGAAUGGCAGUGGAAACUAGGGGACUUGAAUCUGGCAGAGGGGGGUGGAAUUCCACGUUUAGCAGUGAAAUGCGUAGAGAUGUGGAGGAACACCGAUGGCGAAGGCAGCCCCCUGGGCUGAGAUUGACGCUCAGGCACGAAAGCGUGGGGAGCAAACAGG
rnacentral:rRNA from 1 species